CAUAAAAAUGUGCCAAAGGUUCGAUGCUGAUGCCAAGUGAGAUGAGCAUGAUGGAAUGAUAGCUAACAAUGUGUUGACGCCAUUCUCGACCCAGACUUCACGUGGAAUGUCAUCAGUUAUAAGCUAACGAAAACUUGGUAUAGACAACAACAUCACGAUGACUGAAUGGGUAGCCACUACAGCCCCUGGACACCGAGCGAAAUGAGUCAGUCUACCCAUUCCAGAGCAUCAUGCAGUUUUCUACCCUAAGAUCGCAGAGAUCAGACUCAAAUUACAGAUGGAUGGAUACGUGCUAUUGAUAACGGGUGAGGAUAUAUAUGUAUGUUCUAAACUGGACCGAAUAUUAAGAUUCAUCAUGCCCUUAGAUGAUGAGAUGGACAACCUAUUUAGCAAU